UAACAGAAGUGGGCAAAAUUUAUUCUUGCCAGCACACUCAGAUAAACAUGAUAUCUGAAUGCAUUUCAGCUCAGCAGCUGCACCUCUGAGGAUCAAAGCAACAGGACUAAGUGUGAAUGAAUCCAACAGCUAUUUUCUCUUCUAGGACCACUUCACACACUAUGAAAUUCUACUUAGACGCCAUUGUGAAGAGGAAUUUAUGUAAACUCCCCAUGAAGAUUGUUAUAUGUGAUGACCUUAUGUGUCUGUAAUUAUCUGAAUGUAUACGGUAUACCUGUGCUGUAAAACUGCAAAGCUCAUAUUUAGAAUUAUCACAUUGAUUGAUUGAUUGAGUGCCA